GUGAAUCAUCAAAUCUUUGAACGCAAAUUGCACUCUCUGGUAUUCCGGAGAGUAUGCCUGUUUGAGGGUCAGUUUAAAUAAAAAUCUGCGUGGUUGCUGCCUUUCGUGGUGACGCACCGGAUUGGGGUCGUCUUUCCUUCGGUUAAAGUACCUAAAAUAUUUCAUGAUUUUUUUCGAACGUAUUUAAAUGAUUUGACGUACUUUUGCGAUAGCGAAUACUAGG
rnacentral:misc_RNA from 1 species